UCCAGGAAAAGCUUCUAAGUAUAUUGUAUAAGAGACCGUACUGUAAACCGACACUGGUGGGUAGGUAGAGAAUACUAAGGCUAUGAGAUAACUCUGGUGAAGGAACUAUGCAAAAUGACACCGUAACUUUGGAAGAAGGUGUGCCCUUGAUGUUGAUGAGACUUGCUCUUUGAGCUGUUGGGGGUUGCAGAUACCAGGUGGCUGCGACUGUUUAUCAAAAACACAGCACUCUGCGUAAUCGUAAGAUGAUGUAUAGGGUGUGUCGCCUGCCAGGUGCUGGAAGUUUAAUUGAUGGGGUUAGCGCAAGCGAAGCUCUGGAUCGAAGCCCCAGUAAACGGC
rnacentral:rRNA from 1 species